rnacentral:piRNA from 1 species
UGCGUAAGGUUGCUGCGAGAGAAGUGU